CAUUUUAAUGGUAUGUAACAUUCAAGACUGAUUUACCACAGAAAUCCCAUUACCCUUUUUUUCCAGGCUCUGCUGGUAGGUUGGCAGGCCUUGACAAUAGAUGGAUGAUUGAAGUAGUGAGAGUGAGCACGUGGAAUGUUGUCCUGUUGGGCAGCUGCCUUACCUGGAAUUCUAACUAUUUAGUCACUGCACUAAAAAGGUAUGCUUGAAGAGAGGCAGUCUUGUUGAUUAUACAAGUCAGUUACAGAGGACUAAAUUUGUCAAAAGACUGGAUACCUGGCACAGCAAAAAGCCAAGUUUUGUGCCUGCCAUGCAACAAGUCAUCUGCUGAUGGAGCAUGGUGGAAACCAUAGGGCUGCACAGGAGAGGUGCAGCAGGAACUGCAAGAGGAGGAGGAGAUUGCCUACCUCUGCCCCACAUCUGUGGGUUUUAUUUCCUCUACAAUAUCCCACAGAGGCUUCUGAGGGGUGAGUUAGGGGCAGCCUUUUGACCUAGAACAGAUUCUUCAGGGGCCUGUUUCAGCCCCACAGCACUCCUUGGUACUCCUCUUCUUCCAGAAGUAUAUUGCUUGAUGCAAGCCUGG